UACGGAGGAUGCAAGCGUUAUCCGGAAUGAUUGGGCGUAAAGGGUGCGUAGGUGGCGGGGUAAGUCAGGUGUGAAAUCUCGAGGCUCAACCUCGAAACUGCACUUGAUACUGCCUUGCUAGAGUACUGGAGAGGAGAUUGGAAUUUACGGUGUAGCAGUGAAAUGCGUAGAUAUCGUAAGGAAGACCAGUGGCGAAGGCGAAUCUCUGGACAGUUACUGACACUGAGGCACGAAGGCCAGGGGAGCAAACGGG
rnacentral:rRNA from 1 species